GACGAACGCUGGCGGCGUGCCUAAUACAUGCAAGUCGAGCGGAGUCUGAAAGGAAGCUUGCUUCCUUUCAGACUUAGCGGCGGACGGGUGAGUAACACGUAGGCAACCUGCCCUCAAGCCUGGGAUAACUACCGGAAACGGUAGCUAAUACCGGAUAAUUUCUUUUUUCUCCUGAGGAGAGAAUGAAAGGCGGAGCAAUCUGCUGCUUGGGGAUGGGCCUGCGGCGCAUUAGCUAGUUGGUGGGGUAACGGCCCACCAGGCCGACGAUCUUUAGCUGGUCUGAGAGGAUGAUCAGCCACACUGGGACUGAGACACGGCCCAG
rnacentral:rRNA from 1 species